rnacentral:rRNA from 1 species
AGAGUUUGAUUCUGGCUCAGAAUGAACGCUGGCGGCGCGCCUAAUACAUGCAAGUCGAGCGAGAAGACGUAGCAAUACGUUUGUAAAGCGGCGAACGGGUGAGGAAUACAUGGGUAACCUACCCUCGAGUGGGGAAUAACUAGCCGAAAGGUUAGCUAAUACCGCGUACGCUUCUUGGACUUCGGUUCAGGGAGGAAAGCGAUACCGUGGGUAUCGCGCUCUUGGAUGGGCUCAUGUCCUAUCAGCUUGUUGGUGAGGUAACGGCUCACCAAGGCUUCGACGGGUAGCUGGUCUGAGAGGACGAUCAGCCACACUGGCACUGCGACACGGGCCAGACUCCUACGGGAGGCAGCAGUAAGGAAUAUUGCGCAAUGGGCGAAAGCCUGACGCAGCGACGCCGCGUGGGGGAUGAAGGUCUUCGGAUUGUAAACCCCUUUCGGGAGGGAAGAUGGAAUGGGGUAACCCAUUCGGACGGUACCUCCAGAAGCAGCCACGGCUAACUUCGUGCCAGCAGCCGCGGUAAU